CGAAGUAUGGCGUCUGAACGACCUCAAUACCGACCAAGCACAGGCCAUCCACACACUCCUGACGGGGCUUGACUUCGAUGUGUGGAGUCACGGCAGGGACUGGCUCGACGUCAGGGUUCCCCCGCACCUCGCCCGCCCUCUUCAGCGUCGCCUGCAGGAGCUCUCCGUUCCCCAUUCGGUCCUGAUUGAUGACGUUCAGAAGAAAAUCGACGAAGAGAGAAGAGUCUUGGAGAAAUCUCAAG